rnacentral:rRNA from 1 species
UCGAGAAUCUUCCGCAAUGGACGAAAGUCUGACGGAGCGACGUUGCGUGAUCGAUGAAGUCCUUCGGGAUGUAAAGGUCUUUUAUGAGGGAGGAAGUUUAUUGACGUUACCUCAUGAAUAAGGGGUUGCUAAACUCGUGCCAGCAGCAGCGGUAAUACGAGUGCCCCAAGCGUUACCCGGAAUCAUUGGGCGUAAAGAGUUCGUAGGCGGUCAUAUUAGUCUUUUGUUAAAUCUCCCGGCUCAACCGGGAACCAGCAAGAGAAACGGUAUGACUAGAGGAUAUGAGGGGUGUGUAGAACUCAUGGUGUAGGGGUGAAAUCCGUUGAUAUCAUGGGGAAUACCGAACGCGA